UAAACGUUUUUAUGUAGUGUGCAAAUGAU
rnacentral:piRNA from 1 species